CCUACGGGGGGCAGCAGUGGGGAAUAUUGCGCAAUGGGCGAAAGCCUGACGCAGCGACGCCGCGUGAGGGAUGAAGGUCUUCGGAUCGUAAACCUCUGUCAGCAGGGAAGAACGGUCACUGUGCUAAUCAGCAGUGAAUUGACGGUACCUGCAAAGGAAGCACCGGCUAACUCCGUGCCAGCAGCCGCGGUAAUACGGGGGGUGCGAGCGUUAAUCGGAUUUACUGGGCGUAAAGAGCGCGUAGGAGGUAUGUCAAGUCAAGGGUGAAAGCCCGGCGCUCAACUUGGGAACUGCCUUUGAAACUGGCAAACUGGAGUGUGUGAGAGGAUAGUGGAAUUCGAGGUGUAGGAGUGAAAUCCGUAGAUAUCUGGAGGAACAUCAGUGGCGAAGGCGACUAUCUGGCACAUAACUGACGCUGAGGAGCGAAAGCGUGGGUAGCAAACAGGAUUAGAUACCCUUGUAGUC
rnacentral:rRNA from 1 species